UCCCAGGUAGCUUAAUGGUAAAGCACCCAACCGGCAAUUGGGGGAUCUGGGUUCAAGUCCCGAUCUGGGCU
rfam:Strigamia maritima strain Brora ctg7180001230002, whole genome shotgun sequence.